UACGUAGGGUGCAAGCGUUGUCCGGAAUUAUUGGGCGUAAAGAGCUCGUAGGCGGUCUGUCACGUCGGCUGUGAAAUCCCGAGGCUCAACCUCGGGUCUGCAGUCGAUACGGGCAAACUAGAGUAUUGCAGGGGAGACUGGAAUUCCUGGUGUAGCGGUGAAAUGCGCAGAUAUCAGGAGGAACACCGGUGGCGAAGGCGGGUCUCUCGGCAAUAACUGACGCUGAGGAGCGAAAGCGUGGGGAGCGAACAGG
rnacentral:rRNA from 1 species